CAAAUGCUAAAAUACUGUCGGACUGGUCCAAGCAGAAGAGAGUACACCUAAAAUUAAAUUAGGUGAAGUGGGAAAGCAGCAUGUCUGAGGAUAUAUAUGCCAAGCCAGACUUCACCAAAAAAGUUAGAUUUCAGACAGGUGUGAAGGAGGACAAAAACGUAGACGUCUGUGUUGACAUUGAUAAUGUGAGGAUUUAUGACAAUUACUGGGCAGAGGAGAGUACGCCACAGGACAAAUCACAGGACAACAGGACUGAGGACCAACAGCAAACCGAUUCAGUCAAUGUGAGUUCAGAGAAGAGGAAUUAUCUCAGAGUUGCUGCAUUGCUUCUGGGGCUGCUGUGUCUUCUGCUCCUGGUGGCAGUCAUUGUCCUGGUGGUCCUAUGUAAGUUUUUGAAAUGAAAAGCCUCAAUCACAACCUGACCCAAAAGACGAGCCAGUUAGAAAAGGAGAAAGACAAUUUGAAUGCCAGGAACAAGAACCUCACGAGAGAGAGAGAGAGAUGAAUUACAAAUACAGAUUGGUGAGUGAAAAUAUGAAUAAUGAUUUUAAUCAAAGACAUAGUAAGACAUUUUGGAAAUUACACUUAUUCACUUUCUUACCAAGAAUUAGGUUAGCACAUCAAUACUGCUCAUGUAUGUUCGAUAAAAAGAUAGCUAGAGCCAGCAGCCAGUUAGCUUAGCUUAGUACAAAGACUGGAAACUGGUAAAAAGGUAGCCUGUCUCUGUAUAAAGAUUUUUUUUGAAAGGAAGUAAGUAAGUAAGUUAAGCUUAAGAUCACUAAUUAAAAAGUUAAAUAGCAUUUGUAUAAUUUAUUCUAAAACCACAGUGUAAAAUGGCAACCAGCAUUGUCCUGGCCAAGAAUAAACAUAACUUCCUUAAAAUUGCUAAUUGUCAUGUUUACACUACGACUUAAACAUGUAUGGUGUAACAUGUUAAUUACUGAUCUUUAGAAGCGCUGGUAGGCAGAUUUAGUUAAGUUCAAACAGAGCCAGGCUAGCUGUUUCCAGUCUUUAUGCUAAGCUAAGCUAAGCUAACCAGCUGCUGGCAGGUAGCAUCAUAUUUAUAGUAGGCUACAGACACGGGAGUGGUAUCAGUCUUCUCAUCUAACUCAAUUAACGUGAAUAAGCAUAUUUCCCAAAAUGUCAAACUACUUCUUCAACAAGGUUUUCAUUUUAAGCCCUGUUUAGACAUUGAGAGAUUUUAAGAUAAUUCAGUCAGAAGAACAGAUGGCUAACAGUACUACGAAAAAGCUGAGAGUGGUAUUUCUGCCUGAUGGAGUUAUAUAUUGUGACUGAGGUCAUACAAUGUUGUGUUGUUAAACAGAGACAACAUGCGGUCCUGACCAUUGGAUGAAGUUUGGCAAUAGUUGUUAUUUAAUGUCCACCUCAAAGAAAACCUGGACUGACAGCGGAACAGUCUGUGAAGAUCAUGAAGCACAGCUGCUGCUCUUAUUUUAUUCUCGUCCAAACUAUGCUCUUGUUUUAAAAGGUUUGUAAAUGCAACCAAAAUACAAAACCUGCUUCCCUUUGCAAAUUCAUCAUUUUAAUAUUAGGAUUUAAAUAUGUCAGUGUUAUUAAUGGUCUCCGUGGUAAAUAUUUGCAUCAGAAAUACAUGUAUACAAUUUUGAAUGUGGUAGAAAAAAUAGGCAUUUGGCCUCUUAAAAAGAUGGAUGUCAGAACAGGUUGUGUGCAAUGCACCUUCAGUCUUCCUGAAAUGUAAGAAAAAAGGAAGAGAAAGUCUAUGAGUCUAAUGACUUCUGCAAAGCUGCAGAAGUGAAUACACAAUAUGAACAAUGUAAGAGGGAGACAAAAACAGACAAAGAGGAAAUAAUGCAUUCAAAUAUAGAACAGUUUUUUUUCCUCUUCUAUCUGCAUUAUCACAAUAGGCCAGCAGACAUUUUGACUUUCCAUAGUAAGAAAAGCAGAGUUGUUACUAAUAACAUUAACAAUGGCCACGCAGCAUAGUACCUUGAAACUGAAGCAGCUAAAUGGAAUUCAGCAGUUAUUUACACCGCUUCUCCCACUGUGACAUGUCAGAAGGGUGGCUCUUUAGGUAUACAUACUCUUUUUGGAAGGACACUAAAUAAAGUGAUAAAUAAUUGAUUAUAAUCUUUGACAUUUAGAAAUAUAUCAGCUCAUUUUACCUGGAUACCUGGAUUGGUCUGACUAAUGAAGAAAAUGACUGGAAAUGGGUAGAUGGGAUGGCAGUUACAAGGAAGUACUGGAGAAGCAGACAGCCGGAUGAUGGUGGUCCUCGUGGUAAUAGAGAAGAAUCACUCACAUUUCAAACAUAAAUACUUUAAAUAACUGGAAUUAUUUGAGAUGCAGUGAUGAAUUAUACUUUAUAUGUGGGGAAAAAAAACUCAAUAAAAUCUGAUUAUUAUUGUAUGCUCUUGGACUGAUUCCACAGCUGUUCUACUCUCACACAUUUUAUGUAAACAAAGUUCUGAGCUCAUAUCAGUAAUAUUAUAUUCAUUAAUUUUGUGUCUGUGAUGUACU